AUUGAACGCUGGCGGCAGGCCUAACACAUGCAAGUCGAACGAGUGGCGGACGGGUGAGUAAUGUCUGGGGAACUGACCGCGGGGGGGGGAUAACUACUGGAAACGGUAGCUAAAAUCGCAUACCAUAGGCUGUGCCCAGAUGGGAUUAGCUAGUAGGUGGGGUAACGGCUCACCUAGUCGCCGAUCCCUAGCUGGUCUGAGAGGAUGACCAGCACAACUGGAACUGAGACACGGUCCAGACUCCUACGGGAGGCAACAGUGGGGAAUAUUGCACAAUGGGCGCAAGCCUGAUGCAGCCAUGCCGCGUGUAUGAAGAAGGCCUUCGGGUUGUAAAGUACUUUCAGCGAGGAGGCGUUACUCGCAGAAGAAGCACCGGCUAACUCCGUGCCAGCAGCCGCGGUAAUUC
rnacentral:rRNA from 1 species